UACAGAGGUCUCAAGCGUUGUUCGGAUUCAUUGGGCGUAAAGCGCGCGUAGGCGGCCCGGUAAGUCCGCUGUAAAAGUCCAGGGCUCAACCCUGGAAAGCCGGUGGAUACUGUCGGGCUAGAGUGCGGAAGAGGCGAGUGGAAUUCCUGGUGUAGCGGUGAAAUGCGUAGAUAUCAGGAGGAACACCUGUGGUGUAGACAGCUUACUGGACCACUUCUGACGCUGAGACACGAAAGCGUGGGUAGCAAACAGG
rnacentral:rRNA from 1 species